GCUAACUCCACCGUGCUCCAGCUCACCAGCCAGCUGGCGCAGGCGCAGUUCGGCGAGAGCGAGGCUGUGACGUCACUGCAGCAGGUGGUAUCCAUGCUACAGCAGGAGAACGCUCUGCUGCAGACCAAACUAGACGAGACCAGCAGACAACUGGACGAUGUCACCUUCAGACUGGAGGAACAGACCUGUAAUGCUGCAGACUUGGAGGGCCUGAGCAGCUCGGAGGCAGCUAAAGUGCGUGUACUGGAGAC
rnacentral:lncRNA from 1 species